GUGGUUAUAGUUCAAUCGGUAGAGCAGCUAUUUGUGGCAUAGCAAGUUCCCUGUUCGAACCAGGGUUUCCACCC
rnacentral:tRNA from 1 species